CACCCUCUCCAAGACGGCCUAGUGAUGCUUGUGUAGUGCUCGUGUAGUAGUGCUACCUUCCCUUCCCUUCGCCUCCAAGGCUCCAUUAACAAAUUCUCCCACCUCCGCCUCUCUUCCCCCCCUCGCCUUGCCGCCGGGGCUCCGCUCCGGCUACGGCGCUCUCAUGGCCGCGCAGGCGAUCCACCAGUUCGCCGAGUGCAUCACCUGCCAUGCCUGGAGCCCCGACCACUCAAUGAUUGCCUUUUGUCCAAAUAACACCGAAGUACAUAUUUAUAAGUUUUUCACAGACAAGUGGGAGAAACUACAUGUUCUUUCAAAGCAUGAUCAAAUAGUGUCUGGAAUAGACUGGAGUAGAUCUUCCAACAAAAUUGUGACAGUUUCACAUGAUAGAAAUUCAUAUGUUUGGACACAAGAAGGACAAGAUUGGGUACCUACCCUUGUUAUUCUCAAGCUAAAUCGUGCAGCUUUAUGUGUCCAGUGGAGCCCAAAAGAAAAUAAGUUUGCUGUGGGAAGUGGUGCUAAGUCUGUAUGCAUUUGCUACUAUGAACAAGAGAACAACUGGUGGAUUAGCAAAAUUAUUAGGAAGAAGCAUGAAUCUUCUGUCACUAGUGUUGCGUGGCAUCCAAACAAUAUACAUCUUGCAACAACUUCUACUGAUGGUAAAUGCAGAGUAUUCUCCACUAUCAUCAAGGGUGUAGAUACGAGGGGAGCACAAGCCGGCGCCUCUGCUGAUUGGAAAUUUGGAGAGCAAAUUGCUCAACUUGAUCUAUCAUCUACUUGGACAUUUGGUGUAAGGUGGUCACCAAGUGGGAAAACGUUGGCCUAUGCAGGGCACAGUUCCAUGAUUUAUUUCGUCGAUGAUGUUGAAGCGUCUCCUGCUGCACAAAAUUUGACCCUGCGUGAUCUGCCUCUCCGUGAUAUUCUUUUUGUUUCUGAGAAGAUGGCGAUUGGUGUUGGAUUUGACUGCAAUCCUAUGAUCUUUGCUGCAGAUGAGACAGGACUUUGGAGUUUUGUCAGAUUUUUGGAUGAAAGGAAAGUUACUCCAUCAACUUCAAAAGCCUCACAGCUUUCUGAAGCCCUUGGGAAGCUAUAUGGCCAAUCAAAGCAAGGGACAAGCAGUGACACUGUUGAACCAUCGAAGCCUCGUGGUGGUGCUCAUGAAAAUUGCAUAACUUGCAUCGUACCCUUGAGAAAAGGGAGUGAGAGUAUUGUCAAACAGUUCAGCACAUCAGGAUUGGACGGUAAGAUUGUGGUAUGGGAUCUGGAAAAUCACAUCACCAUUCCAAAAUAGUUGUGGAUGAACUCCCGUCGACGCCCGUGCGCAAUUCUUGACAGCAGACCCUGCAGGUUUUCAAAGAUCCAGGGCCAGACUCGAAAGACUCGCUCGAUGAUGGAAACUUGUGUGUAAUUUAGUGCGGAAGGGAGCAUGAAACCAGGGGCUCUUGCUGUGUGGCCUGCGGGGACCAGCUUCUAGCUGCCCUGUUCGCAGAUCCCCAUAUGCCUAUGCUGCUUAAAAAAUUGAUAGUACUCCUAUAAUAUAGCCCUAUAGAUUAUUAUUCGAGACAUUCCAUUCCGUUAGGUCGGUCGUAUUUGGCUGUCCAUGCGGCCAAGAGCUGGUGCUCGCUUUGCUUUGGUUCUAAGGAUAUCAGAAUAGUGCAGGCAACAAAAUCUACAGAUGGCUCCCUAUAGAUUUGCGUUGUGCAUGCUCACAUGGAACGAGACGGAAGUAGUUAGGGCUCGUAAGCGAUGUACAUGGUUCCUGUUUCUUUUGCAUGUCGUCCCAACAUUACUGUGAUUAA